AUUGAACGCUGGCGGCAUGCUUUACACAUGCAAGUCGAACGGUAACAGGCCGCAAGGUGCUGACGAGUGGCGAACGGGUGAGUAAUGCAUCGGAACGUGCCCAGUCGUGGGGGAUAACUAUCCGAAAGGAUAGCUAAUACCGCAUACGAUCUGCGGAUGAAAGCGGGGGACCUUCGGGCCUCGCGCGAUUGGAGCGGCCGAUGUCAGAUUAGGUAGUUGGUGGGGUAAAGGCUCACCAAGCCAACGAUCUGUAGCUGGUCUGAGAGGACGGCCAGCCACAGUGGGACUGAGGCACGGCGCAGACUCCUACGGGAGGCAGCAGUGGGGAAUUUUGGACAAUGGGCGCAAGCCUGAUCCAGCAAUGCCGCGUGCAGGAAGAAGGCCUUCGGGUUGUAAACUGCUUUUGUACGGAACGAAACGGUCCUGGUUAAUACCCGGGGCUAAUGACGGUACCGUAAGAAUAAGCACCGGCUAACUACGUGCCAGCCGCCGCAGUAAGAC
rnacentral:rRNA from 1 species